rnacentral:rRNA from 1 species
GUUUUAAAGAUUAUAAUUUUAAGUUUGAUUUGNUCAAUGAAAUAUUUAAAUAGCUGCAGUAUAUUGACUGUACAAAGGUAGCAAAAUCAAUAGUUUUUUAAUUGAAAGCUGGAAUGAAAGAUUUGAUAAAAUAUAAACUGUUUCAAUUUUAAAUAUAUUAGAAUUUUUUUUUUUGUAAAAAUACAAAAAUGUUAUUAAAAGACGAGAAGACCCUAUAGAUUUUUAUUUAUUUUAUUAUAAGACUUUUAAAAAUAAUUAAGGUUGAAUAAUAAUAUAAAUUUGGUUGGGGAAAUUAUUAAAUUUAGUAAACUUUAAUAUUUAAUUACAAUAAUUAUUGAAUUUGAUACCUAAUUUAUUGGAUAUAAAAUAAAAUACCUUAGGGAUAACAGCGUUAUUUUUUUUUGANANUAAUAUUGACAAAAAAGUUU